rnacentral:rRNA from 1 species
UACGAAGGUGGCAAGCGUUGUUCGGGUUUACUGGGCGUACAGGGAGCGUAGGCGGUUGGAUAAGCCCUCCGUGAAAUCUCCAGGCUUAACCUGGAAAGUGCAGAGGGGACUGUUCAGCUAGAGGAUGGGAGAGGAGCGCGGAAUUCCCGGUGUAGCGGUGAAAUGCGUAGAGAUCGGGAGGAAGGCCGGUGGCGAAGGCGGCGCUCUGGAACAUUUCUGACGCUGAGGCUCGAAAGCGUGGGGAGCAAACAGG